UGCCAGCAGCCGCGGUAAUACGGAGGGGGUUAGCGUUGUUCGGAAUUACUGGGCGUAAAGCGUACGUAGGCGGAUUAGUAAGUAUGGGGUGAAAUCCCAGGGCUCAACCCUGGAACUGCCUCAUAAACUGCUAGUCUUGAGUUCGAGAGAGGUGAGUGGAAUUCCAAGUGUAGAGGUGAAAUUCGUAGAUAAUUGGAGGAACACCAGUGGCGAAGGCGGCUCACUGGCUCGAUACUGACGCUGAGGUACGAAAGUGUGGGGAGCAAACAGGAUUAGAUA
rnacentral:rRNA from 1 species